CGCUAUCAGAUGAGCCUAGGUCGGAUUAGCUAGUUGGUGAGGUAAUGGCUCACCAAGGCGACGAUCCGUAACUGGUCUGAGAGGAUGAUCAGUCACACUGGAACUGAGACACGGUCCAGACUCCUACGGGAGGCAGCAGUGGGGAAUAUUGGACAAUGGGCGAAAGCCUGAUCCAGACAGACCGCGUGUGUGAAGAAGGUCUUCGGAUUGUAAAGCAAUUGGAGUUGGGAGGAAGGGCAGUUACCUAAUACGUGA
rnacentral:rRNA from 1 species